rnacentral:snRNA from 1 species
GUGCUCGCUUUAGCAUCACAUACACUAAACUUGGAAUGAUACAGAGAAGAUUAGCAUGGCCCCUGCACAAUGAAAAAGGUUGUGGUCUUACUUGAUAUU